GAGUGACAUAAACUGGCAUGUUCUGAAAGAAUCACCCUGGAUGCUGUGUGGAGAAAACACUGAAAAGAAUUCUAGAGUGAAAGUUUCAUGAAUAUAAGAAGCAAGACAAGGAAGUGGCUUAUGCUUAAGGCCUUAAAGGCAGCCACUGUGACAAUCCAACCAUUCUCUGGAGAAUUCAGCAGAAAGCCAGUUGGAAGGUUUGAAAUGGAAAUUACAAGCGCAAUAUUACAAAAGUGUGGAUUUUAGUUACAAUGUCUCUAUGAGAAAGUCUAAAAGUUAAACAUAAGCAAAACAACAAAAACAUCUAAAUACCAGGAAUUUGUUAUCUCAAUUAUGGAGGGUGACAAGUCCCACAGUCUGCCAUCUGCAAGAUGGAGAACCAGGGGGAGAAUAAUUGACUCCAUUCAAGUGUUCGCUCCUGUUUCAAUCAACUAUGGCUGAAGAGUGAGGAGACAUUUGGAAUAAAUAUGGCUUCUGGGGGCCCAUUCCUAUGGAUCAGCAGCUGGCUUCUGGAGGCCCAUUCCUGUGGACCGUCGAUCUCAUAGAAGAUAAUAUUGUUAGAAGGCUUACCUCAUUGAUGCUGAACAUCCUAAAAAGCUUCUGCUGCUUUGAGUCAGCGAAAAAGACCAAGAAACAUGAAUUAAAAAAAAAAUUUCAAAUGUUAUAAAAUAAAUAAUAUGAACUCAU
rnacentral:lncRNA from 1 species